rnacentral:lncRNA from 1 species
GGUUGGGGGCGAACGUGCUGUCUCAGAGAACAGAGCAGAAGCCCGAGUCGCCGGGGCAGAGUGAGCGAGACAGAGAGUGGCCAGCGAGAGGCUGUGGGGGCCCCUGGGAGCCUGUUGUCGCACUUGACAUUGGCAAAGUCCCUUCCCCCUGCCCCGCCCCCCACUUGUGAGUUUACUGCCCCCAGGAGAGGGCUCUGGGUGCCUCACCCCCCUCCCCGCCCCGCCGCAGCCGAGGAUGGCGGCAGCUUUCUCCUGGGCUUCUCUGGGCCCUCCAGCCCCGACUUGGCCUUGACCAGUGUGUGCAGCGGGCCCGGGGCCAGGCCAGGCUGUGGGAGGCCGGCUUCCCUCCCGCUUUCAUCUGCAGGCAAGAUCUCUUUCAUCGUCUCUGUUGUUUGUGGACCCCGCGCCAGGCUGUGCUCUGUGAAUGAGAGCUCAGGAAUGCACCCUAUAAAUCUGCGUGGAAGGAAGGAGGGGUGCGAGCGUCAGCAUGUCCCACACCCCGGGGCCCUCCCCGGCCCGCUCUGGCUCAUCCGCUACUCCCUGGGGCCUGCGCUCAGGGAGGCUGGGGGCAGAGGCAUCCGGGCUGCGGGAGAGUGUGGAAAUACCCAGCCCAGCCCAGCCCGGCGGCGCUCAGCACUUCCGGCCAGAGGCGACUGGAACCCAGGGCUUCUGACUCAGGGCUGGGAGGAAGAGAGAAGCUUCGAGACAGACACCAGCCCCGCAGUGCAGCACGUGGGAAGCGGAAGCGGAAGCCCCCACUCCACUCCCUGCCCAGGCUGUGCCCGAGGCCUGGAGGGACGAUCUGCCGCCUUUUCUCCAUUGUGCUAGUGAGUCUCCCCAAACCCAGAGCAGCACCGCGGCAGAGGGCACGCGAAUCUCACCUCCUGACCUCAGUGUGCCUAUCUGUAAGAUGGGCUCAUGUGGUUCCUGCCUCCCGGAGCUGCGGUCAGGAAGGCCUUAGUGCACACGCACAGUUCUGAGACCCGCGCUGCGUGCGCACAAGCCGUCACUGGUGUUUUAGUUACAGAGAUGGGAGCUAACAUGUGCUUCGUUCUGCAGCUCGCCAUGGGAGCCUCUUAGCCCACAGUGCCGUGGGAAGAGCCAGGGAGAUGGUUCCAGAGCUGGCGGCCACAGCUCCCCCGCCCCAGCCCACCUGUCAAUCAGAUGACCCUCCCCAGGAUGCACCUGCGACCUGGGCGGGGGGGGGGGGGCAGUACCAUGUAAGCACUCCCUUUUCGGAGUUGAUAAGAAGCUAGGUGAAGGGGAGGGGGCUCUCUCCGUCUCCCUCCCCUCGUGGACCCAGGGGAGCAGGAUAGGAAGUCCCUCUUUCCCUCCCUGGCCCACUCUCCCU